rnacentral:ncRNA from 1 species
CACCGUGAGGGGAAAUCUGAAGGAAGCAAACGGCAAAACUUGGUUGUGACGAACAGAAAUCUGAUAGUAGGCCGCUACAACUUGGGUAACCUAGCUAUAGAUAGAAUAGCCCAAAGUCUCGAACAGAAGUGUGACGAUGUAAAUUAGGCAGAGCUAUGGGAAAGGGUG